rnacentral:misc_RNA from 1 species
AAGUCGUAACAAGGUCUCCGUAGGUGAACCUGCGGAGGGAUCAUUAACAAAAAAUAAAUAAUAUAAAACAAAAAGCUUAGGGAAAAAUGAAUAAUUUUUUUUUUCGCUUUCGUUUUAUUUAUUAAUAAACACCUAACGUGAACUAUAUGACUGACCUUAGCGCGUCUCUCAUUUUUAAUUAGUGAGAUUUCCGCUUCGGCUUUUUUAUAUCCACCCUAUCCAAUUUCACUUUUAAUAAACCAAAACAAAAGAAAAAUCCAUAAUUGUUAUGUUUUAAUAAUUAUUGACUAAAAUAAAAAUUUUUUAUUUUUAUUUUUUAUAAAUUAAAAGCACAACUCUUAGCAACGGAUAUCUUGGUUCUC